rnacentral:rRNA from 1 species
AGAGUUUGAUCCUGGCUCAGGACGAACGCUGGCGGCGUGCUUAACACAUGCAAGUCGAACGGUGAACCCUUGACGGAGACUUCGGUCAACUGAUUGGGGAAUCAGUGGCGGACGGGUGAGUAACGCGUGAGUAACCUGCCUCUCAGUGGGGAAUAACAUUUGGAAACGAAUGGUAAUACCGCAUAACAUUACGUAAUCGCAUGGUUGUGUAAUCAAAGAUUUAUCGCUGAGAGAUGGACUCGCGUCCGAUUAGCUAGAUGGUGAGGUAACGGCCCACCAUGGCGACGAUCGGUAGCCGGACUGAGAGGUUGAACGGCCACAUUGGGACUGAGACACGGCCCAGACUCCUACGGGAGGCAGCAGCGGGGAAUAUUGCACAAUGGGGGAAACCCUGAUGCAGCAACGCCGCGUGAAGGAAGACGGUCUUCGGAUUGUAAACUUUUGUUCUUAGUGAAGAUAAUGACGGUAGCUAAGGAGCAAGCCACGGCUAACUACGUGCCAGCAGCCGCGGUAAUACGUAGGUGGCAAGCGUUGUCCGGAAUUACUGGGUGUAAAGGGAGCGCAGGCGGGAAAUCAAGUUGGAUGUGAAAUGUCGGGGCUUAACCCCGGAACUGCAUCCAAAACUGAUUUUCUUGAGUGAAGUAGAGGUAGGCGGAAUUCCGAGUGUAGCGGUGAAAUGCGUAGAUAUUCGGAGGAACACCAGUGGCGAAGGCGGCCUACUGGGCUUUAACUGACGCUGAGGCUCGAAAGUGUGGGGAGCAAACAGGAUUAGAUACCCUGGUAGUCCACACUGUAAACGAUGAUUGCUAGGUGUGGGGGGUCUGACCCCCUCCGUGCCGGAGUUAACGCAAUAAGCAAUCCACCUGGGGAGUACGGCCGCAAGGUUGAAACUCAAAGGAAUUGACGGGGGCCUGCACAAGCAGUGGAUUAUGUGGUUUAAUUCGAUGAUACGCGAGGAACCUUACCCGGGCUCGAACGGCUGGUGAAGAGAGACAGAGAUGUUGACGUCCUUCGGGACACCAGUCGAGGUGCUGCAUGGUUGUCGUCAGCUCGUGUCGUGAGAUGUUGGCUCAAGUGCCAUAACGAGCGCAACCCUUGCUGCCAGUUACCAGCGCGUGAUGGCGGGGACUCUGGCAGGACUGCCACCGUAAGGUGUGAGGAAGGCGGGGAUGACGUCAAAUCAGCACGGCCCUUACGUCCGGGGCGACACACGUGUUACAAUGACAGCUACAGAGGGAAGCUACCUGGCGACAGGAUGCAGAUCUUGAAAAGCUGCCUCAGUUCGGACUGGAGUCUGCAACCCGACUCCACGAAGCUGGAUUCGCUAGUAAUCGCGCAUCAGCCAUGGCGCGGUGAAUACGUUCCCGGGCCUUGCACACACCGCCCGUCA